AAAUUGAAGAGUUUGAUCAUGGCUCAGAUUGAACGCUGGCGGCAGGCCUAACACAUGCAAGUCGAACGGUAACAGGAAGCAGCUUGCUGCUUCGCUGACGAGUGGCGGACGGGUGAGUAAUGUCUGGGAAACUGCCUGGUGGAGGGGGAUAACUACUGGAAACGGUAGCUAAUACCGCAUAAUGUCGCAAGACCAAAGAGGGGGACC
rnacentral:rRNA from 1 species